UACGUAGGUGGCAAGCGUUAUCCGGAUUUAUUGGGCGUAAAGGGAACGCAGGCGGUCUUUUAAGUCUGAUGUGAAAGCCUUCGGCUUAACCGGAGUAGUGCAUUGGAAACUGGGAGACUUGAGUGCAGAAGAGGAGAGUGGAACUCCAUGUGUAGCGGUGAAAUGCGUAGAUAUAUGGAAGAACACCAGUGGCGAAAGCGGCUCUCUGGUCUGUAACUGACGCUGAGGUUCGAAAGCGUGGGUAGUACACAGG
rnacentral:rRNA from 1 species